CACUCAACAGCUAGCCGACCAAAUCAAGCCCACCUCCCC
rnacentral:rRNA from 1 species